GACGAACGCCGGCGGCGUGCCUAAUACAUGCAAGUCGAGCGGAUCUCUUCGGAGAUCAGCGGCGGACGGGUGAGUAACACGUGGGCAACCUGCCUGUAAGACUGGGAUAACCCCGGGAAACCGGGGCUAACACCGGAUAACCCUUCGGACCUCAUGGUCCGGAGCUGAAAGACGGUUAUGCUGUCACUUACAGAUGGGCCCGCGGCGCAUUAGCUAGUUGGUGAGGUAACGGCUCGCCAAGGCGACGAUGCGUAGCCGAACUGAGAGGGUGAUCGGCCACACUGGGACAGAGACACGGCACAGACUCCUACGGGAGGCAGCAGUAGGCAAUAUUGCGAAAUGGACGAAAGUCUGACGGAGCAACGACGUGCGAGUGAAGAAGGUUUUCGGAUCGUAAAACUCUGUUGUUAGGGAAGAACAAGUACGAGAGUAACUGCUCGCACCUUGGCGGUACCUAACCAGAAAGCCACGGCUAACUACGUUCCAGCCGCCGCAGUAAUAC
rnacentral:rRNA from 1 species